rnacentral:rRNA from 1 species
AGCUCCAAUAGCGUAUAUUAAAGUUGUUGCAGUUAAAAAGCUCGUAGUUGGAUUUCUGGUACGGUGCGCGUGGCCCGCCAUCGAAAGGUGCGCGAGUGUCGCUUGUGCGUCUACCAUCUCUCAUAGCUAGGGUGUCUCUCUCCAGGGGCAUCUGAACUAUGUCUUUUACUUUGAAGAAAUUAGAGUGUUCAAAGCAGGCUUGCGCAUGAAUAUAUUAGCAUGGAAUAAUAAUUUAGGACUUUGAUCCUAUUU